GCCUGGGUAGCUUAGUUUAAGCAUCUGACUUCGGCUCAAGUCAUGAUCCCACAGCUUGUGGGUUCGAGCCCCACAUCAGGCU
rnacentral:tRNA from 1 species